GUGUCGUGAGGCAUGCUGGAGGUAUCAGAAGUGCGAAUGCUGACAUAAGUAACGAUAAAGCGGGUGAAAAGCCCGCUCGCCGGAAGACCAAGGGUUCCUGUCCAACGUUAAUCGGGGCAGGGUGAGUCGACCCCUAAGGCGAGGCCGAAAGGCGUAGUCGAUGGGAAACGGGUUAAUAUUCCCGUACUUGGUGUUACUGCGAAGGGGGGACGGAGAAGGCUAUGUUGGCCGGGCGACGGUUGUCCCGGUUUAAGCGUGUAGGUGUGUGUUCCAGGUAAAUCCGGUUCACUUUAACACUGAGGCGUGACGACGAGGCACUACGGUGCUGAAGCAACAAAUGCCCUGCUUCCAGGAAAAGCCUCUAAGCAUCAGGUAACAUCAAAUCGUACCCCAAACCGACACAGGUGGUCAGGUAGAGAAUACCAAGGCGCUUGAGAGAACUCGGGUGAAGGAACUAGGCAAAAUGGUGCCGUAACUUCGGGAGAAGGCACGCUGACACGUAGGUGAAGUGAUUUACUCAUGGAGCUGAAGUCAGUCGAAGAUACCAGCUGGCUGCAACUGUUUAUUAAAAACACAGCACUGUGCAAACACGAAAGUGGACGUAUACGGUGUGACGCCUGCCCGGUGCCGGAAGGUUAAUUGAUGGGGUCAGCGCAAGCGAAGCUCCUGAUCGAAGCCCCGGUAAACGGCGGCCGUAACUAUAACGGUCCUAAGGUAGCGAAAUUCCUUGUCGGGUAAGUUCCGACCUGCACGAAUGGCGUAAUGAUGGCCAGGCUGUCUCCACCCGAGACUCAGUGAAAUUGAACUCGCUGUGAAGAUGCAGUGUACCCGCGGCAAGACGGAAAGACCCCGUGAACCUUUACUAUAGCUUGACACUGAACAUUGAGCCUUGAUGUGUAGGAUAGGUGGGAGGCUUUGAAGUGUGGACGCCAGUCUGCAUGGAGCCGACCUUGAAAUACCACCCUUUAAUGUUUGAUGUUCUAACGUGGACCCGUUACCCGGGUUGCGGACAGUGUCUGGUGGGUAGUUUGACUGGGGCGGUCUCCUCCUAAAGAGUAACGGAGGAGCACGAAGGUUGGCUAAUCCUGGUCGGACAUCAGGAGGUUAGUGCAAUGGCAUAAGCCAGCUUGACUGCGAGCGUGACGGCGCGAGCAGGUGCGAAAGCAGGUCAUAGUGAUCCGGUGGUUCUGAAUGGAAGGGCCAUCGCUCAACGGAUAAAAGGUACUCCGGGGAUAACAGGCUGAUACCGCCCAAGAGUUCAUAUCGACGGCGGUGUUUGGCACCUCGAUGUCGGCUCAUCACAUCCUGGGGCUGAAGUAGGUCCCAAGGGUAUGGCUGUUCGCCAUUUAAAGUGGUACGCGAGCUGGGUUUAGAACGUCGUGAGACAGUUCGGUCCCUAUCUGCCGUGGGCGCUGGAGAACUGAGGGGGGCUGCUCCUAGUACGAGAGGACCGGAGUGGACGCAUCACUGGUGUUCGGGUUGUCAUGCCAAUGGCACUGCCCGGUAGCUAAAUGCGGAAGAGAUAAGUGCUGAAAGCAUCUAAGCACGAAACUUGCCCCGAG
rnacentral:rRNA from 1 species